UACGUAGGGCGCAAGCGUUGUCCGGAAUUAUUGGGCGUAAAGAGCUCGUAGGCGGCUUGUCGCGUCGGAUGUGAAAGCCCGGGGCUCAACCCCGGGUCUGGCAUUCGAUACGGGUCUGCUAGGGUCCGGCAGGGGAGACUGGAAUUCCGGGUGUAGCGGUGGAAUGCGUAGAGAUCCGGAAGAACACCGGUGGCGAAGGCGGCCUGCUGGGCAGUUGCUGACACUGAGGCGCGACAGCGUGGGGAGC
rnacentral:rRNA from 1 species